rnacentral:rRNA from 1 species
CAUGCAAGUCGAGCGGGGAAGGUAGCUUGCUACCUAACCUAGCGGCGGACGGGUGAGUAAUGCUUAGGAAUCUGCCUAUUAGUGGGGGACAACAUUCCGAAAGGAAUGCUAAUACCGCAUACGCCCUACGGGGGAAAGCAGGGGAUCUUCGGACCUUGCGCUAAUAGAUGAGCCUAAGUCAGAUUAGCUAGUUGGUGGGGUAAAGGCCUACCAAGGCGACGAUCUGUAGCGGGUCUGAGAGGAUGAUCCGCCACACUGGGACUGAGACACGGCCCAGGCUCCUACGGGAGGCAGCAGUGGGGAAUAUUGGACAAUGGGCGAAAGCCUGAUCCAGCCAUGCCGCGUGUGUGAAGAAGGCCUUUUGGUUGUAAAGCACUUUAAGCGAGGAGGAGGCUACUUAGAUUAAUACUCUAGGAUAGUGGACGUUACUCGCAGAAUAAGCACCGGCUAACUCUGUGCCAGCAGCCGCGGUAAUACAGAGGGUGCGAGCGUUAAUCGGAUUUACUGGGCGUAAAGCGUGCGUAGGCGGCUUUUUAAGUCGGAUGUGAAAUCCCUGAGCUUAACUUAGGAAUUGCAUUCGAUACUGGGAAGCUAGAGUAUGGGAGAGGAUGGUAGAAUUCCAGGUGUAGCGGUGAAAUGCGUAGAGAUCUGGAGGAAUACCGAUGGCGAAAGGCAGCCAUCUGGCCUAAUACUGACGCUGAGGUACGAAAGCAUGGGGAGCAAACAGGAUUAGAUACCCUGGUAGUCCAUGCCGUAACGAUGUCUACUAGCCGUUGGGGCCUUUGAGGCUUUAGUGGCGCAGCUAACGCGAUAGUAGACCGCCUGGGGAGUA